rnacentral:lncRNA from 1 species
GCUGAUCAAGAAUCCUAAGAAGGGGGACCGUCAGCUUACCUACCUGCACCUGCGGGCAUGAAACGCAGGCCCCGUAAAAUAGGGCGUCAGUACGAAAAAUGUACUAAGUAUGUAAGGCAUGAAAAUAACUCUGUAAAUUUUGAAACGUUUAUAAUAUCAUGCACAUGCGUAUAAAUAUCGUGUCAUGCAUAGGUAUGUGUGUACAUAAUAUCAUCAAGCCGCUGAGGGCAUCCCAUCAUAUCGUCUCGUCCACUGUGGGCAACAUCAUCAACAUAUACCAGCUGAUCAGGUGGUGCGUAUAUAACGUCAUAACCUCUUCCCAUAUCCCAUAUACAUAUACAUACAUAUAUACGCGUAUAUAACACCGUUUGAAUCAUAUUUCAGCCACUGUGGGCAACAUCAUCAUCAUAUACCAGCUAAUCAGGUGAUGGUGCAUAUAUAACGCUGUAGUCUUUUCCCAUAUCUCAUAUCCCAUAUACAUAUAUUUACAUAUAUACGUGUAUAUAACGUCAUUUGGUCAUGGGUCAAUGCACAUGUAUAAAUGAGUGAAAUGCAUGAAAAAUACAUAAUAAUCACAAUAUUCCUUCCGGAUAAACUUUUCCAACUGCGUAUUAUUCUGAGACCCAUGAACAGAAGAUAUUAAUAAUUCUCAUGGGAAAUCAAGAAUAUAGACACCCCUACUAUUUCUAUGAAUAGAGCAAUUUAUAGAAGAGUGUGUAUUUGCUCGUUUCUUCAGUAUAAUUUGGACCAUGCCAAAAGAAAGAAGGGAGGGCUUUAACAUACCUGUUCCUGGAAUUACUUGAAUAAAUCUGCUUCUGUCAAAUUUACACUGGAUUUCUUUUAAAUUGGACGAACUUCGCUUGGUCUUGAAAUUUUGGACAAAUUUUGAUUUCAAUUCUGUUCUUGAACGUUUUUUUUUUCUUAAAGACAAAGUGUCUUUUAAAUGUUACCAAGAAUCAGAAAGGAGUAUUUUACUUAAGUUAAUCAAGUCUUGCUAAAGUUAUAAAUUUAAAAAUCUUGGUUGAAGAUGUUCUGUAUUCAAUGGCUAAUGUUUGAGUUAUGGUUGAAGGGAGUCUUUGUGUAAGAAUGAUA